GCCGAAGUGGCGGAAUGGCAGACGCAUGGGACUUAAAAUCCCCCGGUAGCGAUACCGUGCCGGUUCGAGUCCGGCCUUCGGCACCA
rnacentral:tRNA from 2 species